rnacentral:tRNA from 1 species
UCCACCCUAGCAUAACAGUGCCGUUGGCUUCCAUCCUUCACGUCUUAGUAAAACCUAAGGGGUGGCA